GAAUCAAGUCAAAAGAAAAAGCUUCUAACUUUAUUCUCAAGCAAUUUAUGUUUUUGAUUCU
rnacentral:tRNA from 2 species